UGAAUUAUAUGCAUGAAAAAUAUGCAAUUUAAAAUAACUCUAAUUUACAUUGAUUUAACUUUUAAUCUAUUAUAAUAAAGUCUAUUUUAUAUGCUAACAAUUAAAAAAUAUAUAUUUUUACGUAUUCUAUUUAAUUAAAGCAAUUAUUUUUAUUUCUUAUAUUAUUUCCUUCUUUUUCAAAUGCUAUCUACUCUUUUUUUUACUUAUCUUUCAUAGAAUUCGCCAAUUUAAGUGCUUGGUACGUAGAUGUAUUGCGUUUGGGUACGAAUAAUCGGACACGUGUUAGAGGGGCUAGGAGCGAUUUAGGUAACAAUGAUCUCAAGCAACACAAAUCUAUUUGGUAGCCAAAAGGAGAAAGAGGUUGAUACAAUCAACUUGUUCUCUAAAAGCUACUUCUUGCCUCUUUCUGUUUGUGCCAUAUGUUUUCUCCUUAAAAUGGUAUCUUUGCAUUUACUUCACAUUAUUAGACAUGCAUGUGCCAUAUUCUAUUAUCACCAUUAAGCAAGCAAAUAUCAAGAGUGAAGAACACAUUACUACAUUAGCAACAAGAAGAAACGUAAUCAACUAUGAUUUGAGAUUUCUUAGAUAAAAUUAGGGGAUGAAAAACUCAACAAACAACAAUAUAACAAAAUAAACUCAACAAACAACAAUAUAACAAAAU
rnacentral:misc_RNA from 1 species